GGCUGGUCCGAGUGCAGUGGUGUUUACAACUGAUCACAACCCGUUACAGAUUUCUUUGUUCCUCUCCACACCCAUUGCUUCACUUGACUAGCCUUUA
rnacentral:Y_RNA from 1 species